rnacentral:rRNA from 1 species
GAUGAACGCUGGCGGCGUGCCUAAUACAUGCAAGUCGAGCGAACAGACGAGGAGCUUGCUCCUGUGACGUUAGCGGCGGACGGGUGAGUAACACGUGGAUAACCUACCUAUCAGACUGGGAUAACUUCCGGAAACGGGAGCUAAUACCGGAUAAUACUUCGAACCGCAUGGUUCAAUAGUGAAAGACGGCGUUGCCUUCACCUAUAGAUUGAACCGCGGGGCAUUAGCUUGUUUGUAAGGUAAACGCUUACCAAGGCCGAGAUUCCAUACCGACCCGGGAGGGUGAUCGGCCACAGUUGGACUGAGACACGGCCCCAGAUCCUACGGGAGGCAGGAGGUGGGAAUCUUCCGGAAUGGGGGGAAGUCCGAAGGAGGAAAGCCGCGUGAGUGAAGAAGGUUUUCGGAUUGUAAAACUCUGUUGUUAGGGAAGAAUAAAUGGUAGAGGAACUAUGCGCGUCUUGACGGUACCUAAUCAGAAAGCCACGGCUAACUACGUG